AUGACCACUCUACACUCACCUGUGUUACUGUAUACACUCAAUAAUUCAAUUAAUUUCAAUGGCCUUCAAUUAAAACUACAACUUCUUAACUUUGUUGUACCACUCCACUCACUACACAAAUAAGGCCACGUUCUCCUUUUAAAGCUACUAGACAAGAGUCCAAUUUGGACUUCACAAAACUAAUUCCUAUUCCAAUGUGAUUUUGGAUUUCUACCAAAUUAAGUAAACUUUUUUUUUUACUAAUCUUCCUAAAUUAAUUCUAUUACUACUCUUCCAAU
rnacentral:misc_RNA from 1 species